rnacentral:pre_miRNA from 1 species
AAUAGUUUUAUGCCACAUUAGUAUUCUUAUCUUGAAUUUUAGGAUUUUAUUCUGAAAAAAAAUCAAGUCCAAAUUAAAAUACUAAAAUUCAGGAUAAGAAUACUGAUGUAGUAUAAAACUAUU